rnacentral:rRNA from 1 species
AUUGAACGCUGGCGGCAUGCCUUACACAUGCAAGUCGAACGGCAGCGGACCUUCGGGUGCCGGCGAGUGGCGAACGGGUGAGUAAAGUAUCGGAACGUACCUUUCAGUGGGGGAUAACUGUCCGAAAGGACAGCUAAUACCGCAUAUUCUGUGAGCAGGAAAGCAGGGGAUCGCAAGACCUUGCGCUGAUUGAGCGGCCGAUAUCAGAUUAGCUAGUUGGUGAGGUAAAGGCUCACCAAGGCGACGAUCUGUAGCGGGUCUGAGAGGAUGAUCCGCCACACUGGAACUGAGACACGGUCCAGACUCCUACGGGAGGCAGCAGUGGGGAAUUUUGGACAAUGGGCGCAAGCCUGGUCCAGCCAUGCCGCGUGAGUGAAGAAGGCCU